UACAGAGGUCUCAAGCGUUGUUCGGAUUCAUUGGGCGUAAAGGGUGUGUAGGCGGCGCCGUAAGUCGGGUGUGAAAUUUCGGAGCUUAACUCCGAAACUGCAUUCGAUACUGCGGUGCUUGAGGACUGGAGAGGAGACUGGAAUUCAUGGUGUAGCAGUGAAAUGCGUAGAGAUCAUGAGGAAGACCAGUGGCGAAGGCGGGGCUCUGGACAGUUCCUGACACUGAGACACGAAGGCCAGGGGAGCAAACGGG
rnacentral:rRNA from 1 species